rnacentral:rRNA from 1 species
CCCUUAGACGUUCUGGGCCGCACGCGCGCCACACUGACCAGUGCAACAAGCAUCCGUCCUUGGCCGACAGGCUCGGGCAAUCUUUGAACGCUGGUCGUGAUGGGGAUAGACUUUUGCAAUUUUUGGUCUUCAACGAGGAAUUCCUAGUAAACGCAAGUCAUCAACUUGCAUUGAUUACGUCCCUGCCCUUUGUACACACCGCCCGUCGCACCUACCGAUUGAAUGGUCCGGUGAAGCCUCCGGAUUGGCGCGCACCUCGGUGCCGCCGAGAAGUUGGCUAAACCUUACCAUUUAGAGGAAGGUGAAGUCGUAACA